CAACCAGCGCUGCCACUCUGAAAAACUUAACUAAUAAAAAAAUCACCCUUUAUUACUCACUGCAAGUUCUUUGGUAUCUCUCUCUCUCUCUCUCUGUCUUUCUUAGACCAUACAAUGACAAAGAUGUUUGAACUCAAACUAUAAGUUCACAUACAAAAUAUCAUCCAAUUCAUUUAGUUUUAAGCCCUUCAGUAGCCAAAUUAGAAUGUCAGAAGAUCUAUAUUGAAGCUUCAUUUGUCAUGUAGUUGAUUUGUGCAAAUUUGCACAAAUUUUUACUGGAAGUCGUUCGCGUACUUUAUUUGCCAACAGAAGAGAGCACGAGAGAGAUCAAAUUUUGACAGUUAGAAAAUAGAGAACCUGCAAAUUUCUACUGGGACUUUUUUUGCCAGCAGAAAUUUGCAACUUUGAACAAAUGUUUUGUAAAGGUCAGCUGUUUUAUGAAAAUCAGCCGUUACAUGAAAAUACAGAAGCUAACGCCAAAAUGGGUCAAAAAGGCGGAGCUGGUGUUCAGGUACAAAAAAAUCGACAUCUUAAGUUCUAAUUUUACCUCAAGCCGGUUGUUCUACAUUAGAAGGCGUUUUAGUCAAUGAAGUCACCGCCACCCUGGGUAACGAUCAUAAUGUAAACACAAAUCUAUUUAUUUACACAACAAACAGUGGAUGUCUUUUAACUAAAAGUCUUAGACAAACAAAAAAUUUAUUUGAACAGCUUUAGCCAUAAGGAACAGUACAAUACAUAUCUCCAAUAUCUCGACACAACAAAAACUAAUCACAAGCACACUUCAAAUAAAAUUGUACAUUUUUUUGCUGAGUAUUUGAUUAUUUUGUUAUAAUUAACA